AACAGGAUUAGAUACCCUGGUAGUCCACGCCGUAAACGAUGUCGACUUGGAGGUUGUUCCCUUGAGGAGUGGCUUCCGGAGCUAACGCGUUAAGUCGACCGCCUGGGGAGUACGGCCGCAAGGUUAAAACUCAAAUGAAUUGACGGGGGCCCGCACAAGCGGUGGAGCAUGUGGUUUAAUUCGAUGCAACGCGAAGAACCUUACCUACUCUUGACAUCCACGGAAUUUGGCAGAGAUGCCUUAGUGCCUUCGGGAACCGUGAGACAGGUGCUGCAUGGCUGUCGUCAGCUCGUGUUGUGAAAUGUUGGGUUAAGUCCCGCAACGAGCGCAACCCUUAUCCUUUGUUGCCAGCGAUUCGGUCGGGAACUCAAAGGAGACUGCCGGUGAUAAACCGGAGGAAGGUGGGGAUGACGUCAAGUCAUCAUGGCCCUUACGAGUAGGGCUACACACGUGCUACAAUGGCGCAUACAAAGAGAAGCGACCUCGCGAGAGCAAGCGGACCUCAUAAAGUGCGUCGUAGUCCGGAUCGGAGUCUGCAACUCGACUCCGUGAAGUCGGAAUCGCUAGUAAUCGUGGAUCAGAAUGCCACGGUGAAUACGUUCCCGGGCCUUGUACACACCGCCCGUCACACCAUGGGAGUGGGUUGCAAAAGAAGUAGGUAGCUUAACCUUCGGGAGGGCGCUUACCACUUUGUGAUUCAUGACUGGGGUGAAGUCGUAACA
rnacentral:rRNA from 1 species